rnacentral:snRNA from 1 species
AGCUCCGUGCGGUGGCGGUAUCAUAGCCAAUGAGGUUAAUCCGAGGCACAAUUAUUGCUAAUUGAAAACUUUACUCUUUCACACAAUAGAAGAACUAAUGGGUCACAAAAUGAAACUAGUGGGUAGUAAGUUUAA